UACGUAGGGGGCAAGCGUUGUCCGGAAUCAUUGGGCGUAAAGAGCGUGUAGGCGGCCCGGUAAGUCCGCUGUGAAAGUCCAGGGCUCAACCCUGGGAUGCCGGUGGAUACUGUCGGGCUCGAGUCCGGAAGAGGCGAGUGGAAUUCCCGGUGUAGCGGUGAAAUGCGCAGAUAUCAGGAGGAACACCGGUGGCGAAGGCGGGUCUCUGGGCCGAUGACUGACGCUGAGGAGCGAAAGCGUGGGGAGCA
rnacentral:rRNA from 1 species